rnacentral:rRNA from 1 species
GGACAAUGGGCGCAAGCCUGAUCCAGCCAUGCCGCGUGAGUGAAGAAGGCCUUCGGGUUGUAAAGCUCUUUCAGCCGGGAAGAAAACGCAUGGGUUAAUACCCUGUGUGGAUGACGGUACCGGAAUAAGAAGCACCGGCUAACUACGUGCCAGCAGCCGCGGUAAUACGUAGGGUGCGAGCGUUAAUCGGAAUUACUGGGCGUAAAGCGUGCGCAGGCGGUUUGUUAAGAUAGGCGUGAAAUCCCCGGGCUCAACCUGGGAACUGCGUUUAUGACUGGCAGGCUAGAGUAUGGCAGAGGGGGGUGGAAUUCCACGUGUAGCAGUGAAAUGCGUAGAGAUGUGGAGGAACACCGAUGGCGAAGGCAGCCCCCUGGGCCAAUACUGACGCUCAUGCACGAAAGCGUGGGUAGCAAACAGGAUUAGAUACCCUGGUAGUCCACGCCCUAAACGAUGUCAACUAGGUGUUGGGAGG